rnacentral:lncRNA from 1 species
AGUCAAAACUCACAUAGAUUUGAUGUUCUUUACCUUUACUUUCUGUUAUGAAUAGUUGGCUUUUCAAACCUUUUGAACAACAAGUCUAUGCAGAAUGCAGUGCUUUGCAUUUGAAUUAAUUCCAACAUGCUUUAUUAUCUUCUUAUUAUAUAGGUGCUGAACUUUUGAAGCGCAGAUAAUGUGUUAUAAGUUUGAGAAAUUGUAUACUGUCUUUUUAUUUAUUUCUGUUAUGAAUUUUAUAGUUAACUAUGAUUAGGCUUUGUUAUCUACUGGUAAAAGGAACGAUCCUACUUUAGGUUCUCGUCUAAUUUUUGUCUUAUAUUCGGAAAAAUCUUGUAAUGGAUGACUCUUACCUAAAAAAGAUCUUUAAAAGUAAUGCAUUCCACGAAUGACAAAGUACUCUGUUUUAAAGAAAAAAGUCUGAACUUUAAAGAUAAAAUAUAUCUUAAUGGGCAUGUUCAAUUUGGCUUUGUUCUGAGUUCUACAUUUCCCUAUUUCUUUGAAGGAUUCCUGCACCAACAAAAAAACAAGGAAGGAAACGAAAACAGAUCUGCAGCAGAUCAGGUGACAGAGUUUGGGGAGCAUGGGAUAGUCUUCCUAAUGAACUCCUCCUUUUAAUUCUAAUGAAAUUGAAUAUUAUCGACUACCUUGCCUUCAGUGGUGUGUGUAGAUCCUGGAGGUCAGCGGCUACCGAUAUUCGCAAAAGUUUUAUGGAGCGUCUGCAACCCUUAGUUUUUGCACGAUCAAGAUAUGCAAAAAAAGCUUGCGUUCUAUAUAAUAUUUUUGACUCGCAAAAUUGCAAAUCAAUGCUGCCGAGUAUGCCUCGCAAGUACUUAUGGGGUUUAUCAAGUGGUUACUUGAUCACAUACGACAAGAACAUGGGGUUUUGGCUUGUGAACUUAAUGACAAGACAUGAGAUGCACUAUCCUGUCCUGUCCGAAAGUAGCUAUAGGUUCUUUGACUUCACUCCUCGCGCCGUUCUCUUGCGGUUGACUCGGCUUUCAAGAAUUUUCAUGAUUAUUUUCUCUGAGAAGCAUAAUUUUUUACUGAUGUCUGAAAGUGGCUCUAGUAGUUGGCAGGAAUAUCUUUUACCAAACACCAGUGCUGGGAUUGCGGAUGUAAAGGUUUUGGAUGGCAAAAUCUUUGUUCUAACCUGUGAUGCACAUUUUGGAGAAUUUAAUCCGAGGGCAGAUCCUGUUGUGAAGCUCUACAACUGUAACAUCCCUAUUCAACUUCCAUCACGUUCGAUUUUGCAGUUAGUGACUUCAGACAACAAGAUCUACAUGGUUAUAUCUCAAUAUCCUUGUCCAUGUGUAACUUUGUUGGUCCAAUAUCUUUUCUUGUACGAACUUGACUACAGUAUGGAAUUUGCAAAACAGAUUCAUGACUUGGGUUCAAAAUCUUUGUUCCUGAGUGUAUAUAAUUCUGCCCUGGUUGACACAACUGGUUGGGGAGCGGGCAACUGUGUAUGUUUUCUUCAAAAUACAAUCGGAAAAUGUUCAUUCUUUCACUUGGAUGGACGCAGGCUAGCAACGAUUCCUGCUGUUUGGGAUUGUUAUGUGAGACUAUAUUUCUGGGUUUUUCCCGGUGAAAGUUGGGACAUCAGUUGUGUUGGUGAUGAAUUUGGCCCUUGAUCAUUUUUACUUCUGACAUCUGUUUUCCUUUUCCUGGCCAAAUCUUUGGGUGUAGUUUCAUCUUACAUUCAGAAUAUUUGUAUUCUUUCAGUUUCAUGGAUUUAUUCACUCAGACUAAAUAGUUAUGAUGUGAUUUUUAUUAUGCAAGCCAAACUAUCAUAGUUUAUAAAUUUUUUAUUCAAGAGAAUUGACUUUUUAGUAUAAACCUCUGUUAUUUUUAUACAAGUUGUGUUCAGUAGAAUUGGAAGAAGAUAAAAUUUUAGUGUGAUGUUGUAUUAAAGAAUAAUUGCUGACUGUGAUUCUUGUUAUGUUGCGGAUUCAAGUACUAUAAUAUAAUAUAAAAUAAGAGUAAAGUGCACUAUAUAUGCUCCGGCUUUCCUCAAAACACUAUUUAUAAUACUGUAGUUCAAAAUCGAGCACUUACAAUAUCAAUUUUCGUAUUUCAUUACACUUUGUUGUAUUAUGUUAAUUUGGAUUAACUCCGUUAGUAAUUUAAGGAGUAAACUCCCUUAAUAAUUUAAGGAGUAAAGUGCACUUUGUGUAUUCGCACUUUACUCAAAAACAUCACUUGCAAUACUCUAGUUGAUAAUUUACGGUAAAGUGGGAGUACACAAAAUACAGUUUAGGUAAAGUGCGAGUACACAAAGUGCACUUUACUCUCUAAAUUAUCAACGGAAUUAACCCAAAUUAACGGAAUGCAACAAAAUAUAAUGAAAUACGAAAAUUGAUAUUGCAAGUGCUCGAUUUUGAAUUAUAGUACUGCAAGUGGUAUCUUGAGUAAAGUAGGAGUACACAAAGUGCACUUUACUCAUAAAAUAAUAAAUAAAUAAGAAUUGAAUAAUCGUAGUUUUGAAACUUUCUUCCAAUAUAUUUGAAAUUAAUUCAAACUUUCUUCCAAUAAUUUUUGAAUCAAAAAAGAUAAUUUUAAAAUUUUCUUCCAAUAUAUCGAUAAAAAAUUAAUUUUUUAAUUUUAAUAUUUAUAAUUGAAAAGUUUGAGUAAACUAGAAAAAUGUCUCAGGGUUGAAGGUAGCCUGGACGGAAAUUAACAUCUCGGUUCCCAUAUAAGAUUAUAUGUGUGUGUUUGGGGUUCUCAAAUCUCAGGUGGAGAAGAUGAAAAGUGUCGUUCCUUGCCACGAUCUGACGUCGUUUUCUAAUGGGUAACUUGUUUCUCCGUUUCAUAUAUAAGUUGUUUAAUUUUCUUUCCCUUCUAUGCAAAUUAUAAGUAUAGAUGUCGAUGUUUGUUUGAUUAAGUGUGGUCCAUCAGGUGUUAGAUGGACUAUGCAAGCACAAAACCCAUGACACAACUCUGUGCUUGGAAUGCGCAAGCCGGUGAAUCGCCCAACGAAAUCCGACAAUCUCAACCAUGCCAAAAUCCAACCAUUUAAUUAAGCUUCAUGAGCUACUGGGCUUAUGGUGAGAAUUGAUGAGAGAGGUGGACUCUGGAUAAGGGGACGGGUCAGCAGGAUUGCACCAUGUCAUGACACAUGUUUGUAUGGCAGUACCCUAUUAUCGAUUAUUGACGGGUUGGACCAAGAUCGCUCGGCUCAGGUCUUUGCUAUCUAGAUUUAGGUGAGUGCAUCACUAGUCAUUAUAAUAUGCAUUUCUAUAGAAGGUCGUGGUGAUCAUUUUAGGGUACAGGCUUAGUUUUCGUAGAAUGGAAAGUUUGAGAACUCAGAACUACGAAAAUGUCCCUCCUUCAAACCUAAAGUUGAAGAGCAGAGCAAAUUUAAAAGCCCUCCUUUUUGCGUGCUUAAUGUUGAAGCACAAAAAAGCGAUAAAAAGGCGCUUUGCGUAAAUGGGUGUUUUUCUAGAUCUGGACAUAAUUUUAAAAUGUCAGUCAAUGUUUUCUUUUUUAUGGAUUGUUUUAGAGCCAAGCACAUUAUAGAUUCUAGACUUUUAGUCAAAAACACACUCUGAAACAUCUAGUCGACUUAAUCAACCUCUACAAAUCCUCAACAAAGCACUAGGAACUCCCAAAGAGUACAAAUCUAUCGCUGCUGAUUCAAUUUUAUAUGAGUUUUUUAUGUACAUUUUAUGCUCAAUGAUAGGGUUACGGCUGAGUUGCGUGUUCUAAGGCUAUUUGGUGAUCCCCUUAAAUUUCUCCAUGAAAUCUUACCAAUGCAAAAAUUAUGAUCGUGGCAGAUGACAAUUUAAGGGCGGUCAAUGUGCAGAGAGAGGUAUGAAACCUUCUUAAUAUUUUAUAUUUCUUUUUAACUAUUUAGAGGGUUUGAUUUUUCAGAUAAUCAAUACUUUAUUUGUUGUUUUAUUGCAGAAGGAGAAAAGUUCAUAUUUUGUUGCAUAUCGACAUAAACUUAGUGCUUCUUCUCUCUUAUAUUUGAUUUUCUUCUUGUCACCACCCUUUACUAGCAUGUACCUUGGCAAAAAUAAUGCAAGAUGAGGGAAAUCGUGUAGUUGUAGUAAAGAUGAAAAUUCAGUGUGACAGCUUAGAAGUAUGAUAAAUAGUGACAAUCAACAUGUGGUAUGUGGUAUAUACCGUUUUUUGGUAUAAGGGUUAAAAGGAACAUUUAUGACACUUCAAGGGUUGAAUCGGCCGAGUUAAAACUUCGAGGCCGCAUCAGUACAUACCCCCAAAGUUUGAGGAUUAAAAGGGCAUUAAGCUUUAGAAAAAAAUACACCUUUGUUUAUGCGGAGUAUAUUCACACAAAAUGAGUCUUCAUCGAAUUUGAUGUUCCAAUUGAAUUUUUUUUGUCCAAUGUCUCGAUAUUUGACUAUUUUCUCGAUAUAGUUAGUCCGGACGACGACACAAGUCAAUUACACCGAUAAAUAAGAAUGAAUUUCCAAAAGUGGAUCUGUAAUUAUGUUAAUUCACGGAUCAUAGGCUUCGUAAAAGAUCCAUGAGCAUUAUCCAGAGGCCUCAAACAUUGUGAUGCUAAUCCAGCCCACAUUGAAAGAUUAUUAGAAUAAUAUCAGGGAAAAGUUGUAAGGACAUGUGUCAUCAUAUGAUACGAUCCCAACCCGUCACCUCCACCCCUCUAUAUAUUUUACCUAUUGCUUCCCUACGGGCUAGGGCUACAGUCCAUUCUCUUUACAUAAAUUAUAAAGGGCGCUUCAGGUGGGUCAUUUGUGGCGAACAAGAUCGACCCUACCAGUUGUUUCGGUGAGUUCCGUCACUCUCAGAUCUCCAACUAGUAAUUUUUUCUCUUUAAGGAAUGUAGCUUUUUUUUUUUUUUUUUGUCACAAUGUAGCUUUUUUUUUAAUUGAGUUGUAUAUUACAUUUUUCGCUAGAUAUGACAAGAUGUCAUUUUAAUUUGUUCAUUUGGAAAACCAAAGGAAGGAAUUCAUAAUCGAAAAUCAUAUGGUCAUUAUCUUGAUUUAACAAUUAAUAUUUAAUAACAGUUUGUGUAUUGUCUUAACUCAUAAGAUUAAUAAUUACGUUUGCAAGCCUUACAACUGUCUCGAUUUGCUUGAGUGUUUCCCUCACACUGCCUCGAUUUUAUAUUUUCUGUUUGUGUUAUUCUACAAUUUUCAAGUCUCUAUGGUUUGCUUUACCCAAAAACUUCACAGUGUUUAUUGCUGAUUGUUAAAUAUACUGCAGUGCUUUUCUAUUGUGAAAAUAUAUUUGUAUUCUGUAAGCAAUUGAAUACGUUGUAGAGAUAUUUCGGGAAGUAACAUAACUUUGACAUUCUGAUGUAUAAGUCCUAGUCUAUAGAAUCUAUAAACCAUAAGUAUAUAAAUCUACUAAUGCGUCUAUCACACCAACCUGACAUAAGAAACAAGUAUAGAAGUAGCAAAAUUUUGGUCUUUGGAUUUCCUUUCAACAUUUCAGUUAGAAUUAAUAACUCCUAUUGAUUUCUUAUAUUCUCUGUACUUAUAUUUUUUUGUUACAAACAUGUAUUAUUUUUGUUGAAUAUAUAUUUAUAUAUAGAUUAUUCUUUUUUUACCCGCAAAACGUACUUGUAGCUAGCUCCGCAUGAUUGAAAGGUUUAUCAGCUUCUUGCUUUUGGAUCACUUCAUUUCUCCGUCUAUCUCAUAUGCUCUUUUGGGUUCUCAAACAGAAAAUUUUUCUGGAUUUAAACAUCACAUUUCAACCAAAGAAUGAGGGGACCCUAUUAUGCCUUUCAUGUCGUCUCGUGUUAAACCAUAAGGAAGUGCAUCCUUACAGUUGAGAGUAAGGGAGAUACGGAAUGUGAACAUCUUACUGUCCGCAGACCCAGUUUUCACUUGUGAUAUAUUGUGGUUUUCUGGCUUAUAUUGCAUUUGUUAUGUAUUUGUGUAAAUAGUCUUUGCUGUCAUGAGUUAAAAAUUUAUGUUAAUUUUAUGUUUGUGAUGCAAGUGAAAGAAAGUAAAGUAGCCAGAAAAAUUGUUUCCAUGCUGUCAAAAUAUUGGAUUAGUGAAAGAAAGUAAAGUAGUCAAAAUUUAUAGCAGUUGGGAUCUAUUUUAAAUCUUUUAACAGAUGUUCUAGACUUCGUUUCUUAAAAGUAUCCUUUAAUUUUACUUGACAUAUUUCUACAUACUGUUAACAGGAGCAGUACUUGUCUAAAAGCAGGACAAGGGGAGCCUCAAGUUAUUUCCGGUCAGACUUAAGAGCUUUUGAAGUAUCCCAGCGGGAUGGAAGUGGAAUGGAGACCUAAUUUUGGUGGGAUGGAAAAAGCAUUUAGCAUGAAUGUGAUGAUGCUAAUUGUUGGAUAUUUUACGGGACGCUCGAUAAGACACUGGUAACUUUUCUUUAAAUCGGCUCUAUAUCAGUAUUGUGAUCUGUAUCUUUAAGUUUUUUAGUCCUUGAUGUGAGGCAUCAAAUCUUUACUUUUCAUUAGUAGCAAUCGCAAGUUCGGCCGUUUGGGAGACUGAACCUGUGUUAAUUAUUAUUAUACCAAGGCUAAAUGUCCCAAGAAAUGCAUGUAUGCAGCAAAGCAAAGCAUAAGCAUAAGCAUCCCUUCAGAAAAUAAAAGGUUUUAUUCCAAGUGAAAAAUAUAUUAUACCAAACAUGGAUUUUCCUCCAAGUCAAAAGUCACAUAGAUUUAAUGUUCUUUACCUUUUACUUUCUGUUUUGAAUAGUUGCUUAUUCAAAUCUUAUGAACAACAAGUCUAUGCAGUAUGCAGUGCUUUGCAUUUGAAUUAGCUUCCAGCACACUUUAUUAUCUCCUUACUAUAAGCUGCAGAACUUUUGAAGCGCAGAUAGUGUGUUAUAACUUUGGGACAUUGUAUACUGUCUUUUUACUUAAUUCUGUUAUCUAUGUUAUUGUGAACUAUGAUUAGGCUUUGGCAUCUACUGGUAAAACCAAAACAAUCCUACUUUAGGUUCUCCUCUAAUUUUUGUCUUAUAUUCGUAAAAAUCUUGUAAUGGAUGACUCUAACCUGAAGAAGAUCUUUAAAGUAAUAUAUUCCAUUUCGCUUUGUAAUGCGUUCUGCAUUUCCC